rnacentral:lncRNA from 1 species
GGCACAGCAGCUAGCACUAGACCUGAAGGCAGCAGGCUUGUGCGCAGCUGCUGCUCCUUGCCGGGAAGCCGAUCACUGCACCAGGAUCAGCUUUGGAUCCUCCUCAGCAGCAGCAGCUGAGCAGCCAGGGGUCGCGGGCAUGCACCAGCUGAAACUUGCGCAGGCUGCCUGCUAACGGGUCUUCCUCCUCUGGUGCCCACGGGCCCGCACAGUCCUUAAAACAGCUGCCCUGCUGAUGGAGCAGAAAUAACAGGCUCCGGAUCUCGGCUCACCUGAGGGGGCCGGUGAGAGGCACAGAGAAGGGGUUAUAGCGCCUGGAGGAAAGCGACUGUCACGGACCUCUUAUGACCAUGCUUUCUCGUGAUCACGUUUCCCCAUUUCUUGGGACUCUGAGGUACCCCCCGCUCUGGACCUGAGGAAGUAGUUGCAGCAGUGACUAGGUUUGUGCAUUGCUUUUACGGCAGAGCCAUGGUUGAGAGUUCUUCCCGAUUGACUUGUAGAGACAGGCUCAACCCCAUGGGAUACAUGCCACAAUGUGUGCUCAAUAGCAGCAUUACCAGAUCUUCUUCAGAAGCAUUCUCAGUUUCAUCCAGGAUAUUGGUGUGAAUUUAAAUUUCUCUGGCUCUUUCCUGAGAAGCUCUUCAAAACUACAGAACUCCUCAUCACUCAGUCUUUGCAGAGGCUUCAGCAAGCCAUGGCCAGAUGAGUCCACCAUCUUGGAUAGUCAUCUCCGAUUCCAGAGCCUGAUAAAUCUUCAAAACAAAGACAUAAGUGAUACCUUGGUCCCAAAAUUUCAACACUGGGAAUCCAUUUCCAAGCAACAACUGCACAAAUGCUCAAAGAUGCACCCAGUCUGGACCUGGUUGCAUGGGCUGAUACUUAUCAAAGGACAGUGAGUACUCUUAACUGCAGAGCCAUGCCUAUGCUACCAAGUAUAUUAGAAGCCACUCUAUUUGUACAUUAUGAGGAGUUAGUGGCACAGGUGCACAGUUUCUACUUCUAGGAGGACCAGCUCUUGAAGCCAUGUUAUUAAAAAUAAUUGUCAACAGAACCAAGGGUUCUAUGCCUGCUAGCCUUAGGAUGAUCUUCUGAGUGACAAAAUCUAGCUACCUCACAUCCAGCUGGCAUGACUCUUGGCCUCUAGACAUUUUCCUGAAUUCCUGUCUUGUGUUUGUCUCUCUUUUGUGAACUCCUAGGAUCUGCAUCUUUCCUCAGAUAUAUCAGCUCAAUGCAUCUUAGACUAGUCCCACUGACUAUCAUUCUUGGGUCUUAACGACUACUCUGUCCUUCAGGGCAACUUUUGAGUCAUGGCUAGCACAUUUUAAAUGCCUCUUGAUAUAUCUGGUUGUAAUUUUCACACCCAGGAUGAGGAAAGAGUUGAGAUGCCAAAGCUAUUGGCAUAGGCCGUAUCUACCAAGUAGUCUAAAGUAUACAGCCUGGCAUUAAAGUGGAGAAAUUCAGCAAGAGAAGGUAACAGGCACUGUGAUCCCCCACUAGACCACAAUUGAGUAAUAGCAGCUCCAGUCUUAUGCUGGCCCAGUAUAGGCAUAGUCAGCUGCUGUGAGAUCAUGACUGAAGUGGAGACGUGCCAGAAGGCAGCAUUUCAAAGCCCUUCUCCAUACCUUCUACCUUCUAGGUUCUUUUGAUGGAUCCUCAGGGAGAGGUGGUCUUUGUCUUUAGUUAAGUAGCCAUGGGUUAAGUGAUCACAUCAGACUCCACAGGACAGAGAUGCAGACAGCCUGCUUAGAAAAGCUCUGCCUUUGGAUCACAAAACAGAAGUUGUGAAUGUGAGAAAAGGGAGUUGUAGGGAAAAGUGGGGAUUGAGAAGAGUGGAAUGGAGAUGGGAAAGGGACAAAGAACCAGAGAGUAUUGUUGCAUCUGCCUCGGCCGGCAAGGAAGACACAACACAGUCGGAUUCUUCUCAACAGCCUUUAUUGCAGGGACGCCUCAAUGCUGCUACAGGUACCCUGGGCACCCAGGGAGUUCUGCUUAUAUACUCUCAGCCCCCAUCCACUCACGGCAGGCCAUGUCACCUCACCAGGCACACAGCUUCAGCCAAUCAGGGCGGCAGGGGCAUGUCUCCACCAAAUAUGGGCUUUUUUACACCACCAGCAUCAUGGUGCACCUGCACAGCUCUCACGAUGGUCGUGGCUUAUUUUCAGGUGUAUGAGGAAGUCAGGUGCAAGUCAUAAGACUUAGCUGCAGUCCCGGGCGCCAUCUUGGGACUGCUGCCCCACCCGCUCCUCACAUCUCUCCCCCCCCUUUUUUUGGCGGAGAGAAUGUCUGUCUUAGAUUGCCCCCCUGUGGCAAUGCCCCUUACCCAUCCUUGGGAGACAAACAGCAUUGGUUUGAUCCCUGUCUUAGGUUGGUGACACGCCCAGGGAGUCUUAUCCGUCAUUGACUACUUCUCUAUCAUGCCAAACCACACUUGAGGAGAUUGUCCUGUCUGCAUGUGGCAGGUGCACCAGAAGGCCAGGAUGCUGAUUAAUCUAUGGCCCAAUUUUGAUUGCUGCAAGCAAGCCUCAUGGGUGAAGGUAGAGGUCUGAUCCCCAGUGUGCAAGCAUAGGGGCCCUACACAAAACCAUCCCUUGGGCUCAUCACCCAGAGAGGUCUUGGCCAGCUCCCGUGUCAUUUUUCCUGGGGGAAGGGAACUAGGACAUUGAACCUUCAUGCAAUCAGACGUGCCUUCCACAGGAUGCCAACAGCAAGCUAUCCUCUGUGCAGUGCUUAGCCUUGCAACCCAUGGCAUAACGCAGCAUUAUUUCUUUAGAGCGGCUAAGCCAAAUCUGAGGAAAUUGUCCUGCCUCCACUGCGGCAAAGGCCUGCGCCACUGCCACAGGCCCUCUGGUCCCCUGUGCCUGUGUAGAAAAGAGUCUCUAGAGUAGAUGGGCAAAAAUUAGGAUGUAUUGACAAGCAGUCAAACACGCUAGAAUGGUGUUGGAUCUGAAUGUAAUGUUCCAGUCGAGCAUCAGACUUUUAUAAUACAGAAUAAAUUGCAGAACAAGGCACAUUGAAUUUUUCCAGGUGCAAAAGGAGUGACUUCAAAAGGAACCAGGUAAAUGUAUAACACUAGAGAUUUAGCACAGAUGCAAGGGGAGUGACUACAAAGGGAAUUUGUAGGGACCAGAUAAAUGUUUACAUUAGAGAUUAGCACUUUCUGCCAGGCAAGAGUUUUACACUUAGAGUUAAUUGCCUCAGGGUAGUUAACUCUUGACACGCCUCAAGAAUAAUGUAGUGUCACUGACCCCAAAAUUCUCUAGGCCUCUAAUUCUUAUCAAUAUCUGAAGACUGUCUAUUUUCAGUAUAGUAUACUAAUUUGCUCUUGGCAUGGAAUGUAGUCUGUAAUAAGAAUUUCUAUCUCAGUGAGAAUUUUAGUCUCUAUCUGUAAACAGCUGAGUAAAAUGGCAAGUGCUUAAUUGUUUACUGAAUGGGUUAAGCUCCUUGCUGCUAUCUGGAAUCUAAGAACACUGGGAAAAGGCUUUAGCUAUGUUAGAAUACAACCUUAAAAGGCAUUUACUAUAAGGUGAUGUUUAAUAGAGUGCAUGUGAAUCUAUACACUAGAUUAAUGUGGUGGAAAUUUGAAUAUAAUGGGUUAGGGAAAGAGAUGCCAUAACUCUGGGAGGAAAAUUUCCCUGGACUCUUAUCCUCGUGAAACAGCUUCCAGGCUUUUCACCUGACAAACCGAUCCAAACUGGAGAGUUGGCUUUCGCCAGAAUAUCCAGGAGGAGAGUCCUAGAAAUUUAUUUCUCAUGAGCAGCUUUUUGGCAUUUUUGCCUCACAAGCUGACUCCACCAGAGUGCCCUGACACGCCACCAUGGCGGAAGUGCGGGCCUGCACAUGCUUCACCUGACACAUACACCAAACACACAACACACACACUAUUACAAGCAUACAUUCCAGGGCUUCCAUCAGCCCUGAGGCAAGGGAUCAGUGCAACUACCAUUCACCCCACAUAACAACCAUACAUAUAAGAGGCACUGCCCAAGGUGGAAGGGAAUCAGGAACACUCCUACAAAAAGGAAGGCCCAUCUAGGUUGGGAGGUUAUAGUGCCCUUGGAUGUACUAGCAGGCCACACCCCUCGAAUCCAGGUAGCAUUAGCUUUAGUAGAUACAGCUGAACACAAUCACUCAUCUGUGAAAUAUUUUGAAUCAUCUGAAAACACAACAAUCCCUUUAGCUGAAGCAGCAUAGAAAAAAGGCAAUUGUAGUGAAGCAUUAGAUGUAAAGAAUCGAGGAAACACUUGAAUGCGCCAACGGCAUGGUUUUCAGGAACACAGACAUUAUUCCCCAACGUAGCUCUUCAGUUCUCACUAGCGCGAGCAUUCCCAGCCACAGGAACAUCCACGUCCUCAUAGCUCUGCUUGUUUUGAAUUGCUCUGGUCAGCCCUUCUGGGACCCACAGCUGUUGUGGGUGAUCCUGAGGAAACACAAACAGACCCUCUCGCCCAAACCAAUUGAGAGCGCUCCUCUCUCACCUGAUUCAGCACCUCAUUACCUCUCUGAAGUUCUGCGCCACAUCUUUCUCUUCUAUGCAAUUUCUCACUAACUUCCAGACCGGCAAAACCCCUUUUGGUAAAACCCUCUGUUCCUCUGCAAACCUCAAGUCCCAAUGGUGCUUGGUGCAACUUGUCCCAAAGCCGGGAACCUUAACUUGUAAGAAAGGAAGAAACUUGUCCCAAAGCCGGGAACCUUAACUUGUCUUCACAAUUUCCUUUUCUUUAUCACUGAUUCCUUUUAUUUUCCCUCCCUUUUCUUUUCCUUUUUCUUUCUUGCCCUUUUUCUUUCUCUUGCUCAUACGCUCUUUGUCCUCUUCUGACAUGCUUUCUUGUUCCAUAAGAAUUUUCUGACCUGCUUUAACUGCCUCAACACAUCGCUUGUCCUCUAAACAAGCAUGCACCAUGCGCCAAAGCGGUUUCACUCCUGUGGGUUUUUUUUUUUUUUUUUUUUAUUUUUUACUGAUCCUUUUUCAGCUUCUCUUUCUAGGUCUCUCCCCAACUUAUCCCACGAUCCCAAAGUUAGGGAUCCGGUAGGCAAAAACCAGGGCGCAAUGCGGUCAACUUCAGACAGAAAACUUGCUAAUAUUUCUUCUGAUUUUGAGCUUCCGCUGACCAAGCAGAUCUUGCAAAGCGGAGAAGAGAUUACUAGAUGGACACUCAUGUCCAGGUCUGUGACAGUUCAAACAAAUGCAAAGGCCAUAAAAUACAAAAAAUGAAACUAGGAUGAGAGCUACCCACGCUGGUCUAUAGGAGGAAAAAACAUCCCCCUUUAACCGGGAAUCAAUUAGGGAGACUUACCGGUACCGCCGUUCCUUGGCUGAAAAGUUCUGAAUCUGCGAAGUCGUUGUCCUCAGGUCCCUGUACAGGCCACCAGAUGUUGCAUCCACCUCAGCCGGCAAAGGAAGACACAACACGGUUGGAUUCUUCUCAACAGCCUUUAUUGCAGGAAUGCCUCAAUGCUGCUACAGGGACCCUGGGCACCCAGGGAGUUCUGCUUAUAUACUCUCAGCCCCCAUCCACUCAUGGCAGGCCAUGUCACCUCACCAGGCACGCAGCUUCAGCCAAUCAGGGCGGCAGGGGCAUGUCUCCACCAAAUAUGGACUUGUUUACACCACCAGCAUCAUGGUGCACCUGCACAGCUCUCACGAUGGUCGUGGCUUAUUUUCAGGUGUAUGAGGAAGUCAGGUGCAAGUCAUAAGACUUAGCUGCAGUCCCGGGCACCAUCUUGGGACUGCUGCCACACCUGCUCCUCACAGAGUAUCACAGACAGAUAUGAAACUGUCAGACAUAUUGAAAAAAAUCAUAAGAUGGAGAGAAAUUAAGAAUAGAAAUGACAGUUUUAAUUUCUAAUGCAUAAUGUGUUCCCCAUCAAUAUCUACUUUUAACCAUAACCUGGUUUUGAUAGAAAAAUAGUGAGCAUUAUCUUCAAAAAGUUUAAACUUGAAAAACCAUUGUUCAAUAUAGGCUGUCAACAUGAAAGGUUUUUUUGCUGAUUAUAGAUGUUUUAAAACAUUCUUCAUUUGUAUUGCCAAAUUCUAUUUCAACUGUUUCAAAUUACUACUGUAAUUUUAGCUGCUGAGGGAUUCCAAAUUUGAUUUGCUUGAAAGACAUCGCUUGAAAGAUAGGAAAAUAAUAACAAUUAGAAUUAAAUUUAGAGUUUUAUUAGAAAAUUUGAACUCAGAAAAUUUUGCUUUCAUUUCAAUGUUAUUAGAAACCACAUCAAAUAUACUGCUAAAGUGUCAAAUAUAUUCAACAUUUACUGAGAUUAAGACAUACAGUCUACUCUCAUUCUGUACAUUUUUCUGUUCUUCUUGACACAAGGGCUGCUCCAUUUUAUAUAAAGGGGUACUGGAAAAAUCCAUGGAUCACAGACGCACACUUUCAUUCCUCCUGAGUGUUUCAUCUACAGCAAAAGCAAAACAAUAAAAAUAAGCAAAAAACGCCA